AGACCCUCCAGGGGCAGGGCCCAGGAUUGAAGAGGGAAGCCCUGCUCCACACGUGUUCAUCAGGAAGGACCCACAGACUGCUGCUCCUGGAGGCCUCUCGGUUUAUGGAUGUGUGUUUGUUCCAUAAACCCUCAGAGGGUCACCUGGAGACCCGCUAAAAUGCAGGUUCUUGGGCCACAUCCUAGACCUUCUGACCGACCCAGGGAGUGGGGCCCAGGAAGCUGCAUUUGACAGAUAUCCCCGUGUGAUCAUCAUGCACACAGGAGUGAGAGAACCAGUGUUCUCCCCGGGCAGAAGGGAAGCUCGUGUGCAGGACACCUCACACCUCCUUUCCCAUUCCCCUGCCAGGCUCUCCCUGCUGACAUUGUUUUUGCGGGAGAGCUGUGAAUUCUGAAGAUUAGGUUGCUUCUCACCCCAAGCUCCAGAAGUCCAGGCUGAGCCAAACCAAGCUUCAAGUUGAACCACCAAACUGUUUUCCACAGAGGCUGCAUCAAUUGACAUUCCCACUAGCAAUGGAUGAGGGUUCCAAUUUUUCCAGAUGCUCACCAACACUUGUUAAUUUUGGUUUUGUUUUCAUUAUGGCCAUUCUGGUGGGUGUAAAGUAGCAUCUCAUUGUGGCUUGACUGAAUUUCUCUAAUGAGUAAUGAUGUUGAGCAUUUUUCAUGUGCUUAUUGGCUAUUUGUAUAUCUUUGUUGGAGAAAUAUCUGUUCAAGUUCUUUGGCCAUUUUAAAAUUGGGUUGUCUUUUUGUUGUUGAAUUGUAAAGUUCUUUAGAU
rnacentral:lncRNA from 1 species